rnacentral:rRNA from 1 species
UACGAACGCUGGCGGCGUGCCUAAUACAUGCAAGUAGGACGCAGUUGCGAACGGGAGAGUAACGCGUAGGUAACUACCUAUUAGAGGGGGAUAACUAUUGGAAACGAUAGCUAAUACCGCAUACUAGUAGAUGGACCUGCGUUGUAUUAGCUAGUAGGUAGGGUAAUGGCCUACCUAGGUAACGAUACAUAGCCGACCAGAGAGGGUGCACCGCCAUCAUGGGAACGAGAAACCGCCCAGACUCCGACGGGAGGCAGCCGUAGGGAAUCUGCGGCAAUGGGGGGAAACCUGACCGCGCAACGACGCGUGAGUGAAGAAGGUUUUCGGGUCGUAAAGCCAUGUUGUUAAGGGAGCGGUACUUAACCAGAAAGGGACGGCUAACUACGUGCCAGCAGCCGCGGUAAUUC